rfam:Triticum urartu cultivar G1812 contig953639, whole genome shotgun sequence.
GUAGUAUUCCCUCCGUCCCAAAAUUCUUGUCUUACAUUUGUUUAGAUACGGAUGUAUCUAACACUAAAAUGUAACUAGCUGCAUCCAUAUUUAGACAAAUUUAAGACAAGAAUUUUGGGACGGAGGGAGUACAAA